CCCGUGGUUCAGCCCACGGUAGCCUAGGGGUAGGGCACUUCCGGUAACGGAUUUGUCUGAAGCUCCCUGACAAUGUACCCACCCGCAAGGGUCUGUUCUCCGUGAGGGGAGCAGGGGAUUCUGCCAGCAUCAGGCGGAUGAGGGG
rnacentral:ncRNA from 1 species